rnacentral:lncRNA from 1 species
ACUGAGUGAGGGUCACUGUUCUCUUUCCAGUGGCAAAUGUGAGGGGUGAAGGUCCACCAGUGCAUAACAACUUAAACUUGUGCUCUGAAAAGGACAAUGACAGCAUCGCCUACAGAACUAACAAUGGACUGACCAAAGGGAUACGGAAUAUUUGUGCAUCAGUACAUGAGGAUACCUCUCUGCAGUGCUCACAAGACUCAAUAAGAAUGGCGGUCAUCACAUUGGUCCCAGCACAUCACUGAUACAGCAGAUCCAGCUGUGCUGCUGGUACAGCCACACCAUGCCCAGAUGGUGCUGCCUAAAGCAUCAGCCCUCCAUGAUGCUGUACCCCAGUGCCAGGUAGGAAGCUUUGAAUUGCUCAUCUAUCUGUGACUACUGCAGUUAGUAGCACCCAAGAAUAGCUCAUAAACUUUGCACUAAGAUUUCUGCAGCCAACACAAACUGAUA